rnacentral:rRNA from 1 species
GUGUCAGCAGCCGCGGUAAGACGUAGGGGGCGAGCGUUGUCCGGAAUUACUGGGCGUAAAGAGCACGUAGGCGGGAACUUAAGUCAGGUGUGAAAGACCGAGGCUCAACCUCGGGGUGGCACUUGAAACUGGGUUUCUUGAGGGCAGGAGAGGAAAGUAGAAUUCCUGGUGUAGCGGUGAAAUGCGUAGAAAUCAGGAGGAAUACCAGUGGCGAAGGCGACUUUCUGGACUGACCCUGACGCUGAGGUGCGAAAGCGUGGGUAGCAAACAGGAUUAGAUACCCGCGUAGUCC